GGGGUUGUAGCUCAGGGGUAGAGCUCUUGCCUAGCAUGUAUGAGGCACUGGGUUUGAUUCUCAGUACCACA
rnacentral:tRNA from 1 species